CGAGGCACUACGGUGCUGAAGUGAUAAAUGCCCUGCUUCCAGGAAAAGCCUCUAAGCAUCAGGUAACACGAAAUCGUACCCCAAACCGACACAGGUGGUCAGGUAGAGAAUACCAAGGCGCUUGAGAGAACUCGGGUGAAGGAACUAGGCAAAAUGGUGCCGUAACUUCGGGAGAAGGCACGCUGAUAUGUAGGUGAAGUCCCUGCGGACGGAGCUGAAAUCAGUCGAAGAUACCAGCUGGCUGCAACUGUUUAUUAAAAACACAGCACUGUGCAAACACGAAAGUGGACGUAUACGGUGUGACGCCUGCCCGGUGCCGGAAGGUUAAUUGAUGGGGUUAGCGGCAACGCGAAGCUCUUGAUCGAAGCCCCGGUAAACGGCGGCCGUAACUAUAACGGUCCUAAGGUAGCGAAAUUCCUUGUCGGGUAAGUUCCGACCUGCACGAAUGGCGUAAUGAUGGCCAGGCUGUCUCCACCCGAGACUCAGUGAAAUUGAACUCGCUGUGAAGAUGCAGUGUACCCGCGGCAAGACGGAAAGACCCCGUGAACCUUUACUAUAGCUUGACACUGAACACUGGUCCUUGAUGUGUAGGAUAGGUGGGAGGCUUUGAAGCGUGGACGCCAGUCUGCGUGGAGCCAACCUUGAAAUACCACCCUUUAAUGGCUGGUGUUCUAACGUAGACCCGUAAUCCGGGUUGCGGACAGUGUCUGGUGGGUAGUUUGACUGGGGCGGUCUCCUCCCAAAGAGUAACGGAGGAGCACGAAGGUUGGCUAAUCCUGGUCGGACAUCAGGAGGUUAGUGCAAUGGCAUAAGCCAGCUUGACUGCGAGCGUGACGGCGCGAGCAGGUGCGAAAGCAGGUCAUAGUGAUCCGGUGGUUCUGAAUGGAAGGGCCAUCGCUCAACGGAUAAAAGGUACUCCGGGGAUAACAGGCUGAUACCGCCCAAGAGUUCAUAUCGACGGCGGUGUUUGGCACCUCGAUGUCGGCUCAUCACAUCCUGGGGCUGAAGUAGGUCCCAAGGGUAUGGCUGUUCGCCAUUUAAAGUGGUACGCGAGCUGGGUUUAGAACGUCGUGAGACAGUUCGGUCCCUAUCUGCCGUGGGCGCUGGAGAAUUGAGGGGGGCUGCUCCUAGUACGAGAGGACCGGAGUGGACGCAUCACUGGUGUUCGGGUUGUCAUGCCAAUGGCACUGCCCGGUAGCUAAAUGCGGAAGAGAUAAGUGCUGAAAGCAUCUAAGCACGAAACUUGCCCCGAGAUGAGUUCUCCCUGAGACUUUAAGUCUCCUGAAGGAACGUUGAAGACUACGACGUUGAUAGGUCGGGUGUGUAAGCGCAGCGAUGCGUUGAGCUAACCGAUACUAAUGAACCGUGAGGCUUAACCUU
rnacentral:rRNA from 1 species